rnacentral:rRNA from 1 species
GAGGGUUGACAUCUCUGGCAAAGCUAUAGAAAUAUAGUGGAGGUGAACCGGAUGAAAGGUGGUGCAUGGUUGUCGUCAGCUCGUGUCGUGAGAUGUUGGGUUAAGUCCCGCAACGAGCGCAACCCUUAUUAUUAGUUACUUUAUCUAAUGAGACUGCCAGCGUAAGCUGGAGGAAGGUGGGGAUGACGUCAAAUCAUCAUGCCCCUUAUAUCUAGGGCUACAAACGUGCUACAAUGGCAAGUACAAACUGUUGCGAACCAGUAAUGGGGAGCUAAUCAUAAAAAGCUUGUCUCAGUUCGGACUGAGGGCUGCAAUUCGCCCUCAUGAAGUUGGAAUCCCUAGUAAUCGCUCAUCAGCCAUGUCUCUGUGUAUACGUUCCCGGGUC